GGUUAAGCGACUAAGCGUACACGGUGGAUGCCCUGGCAGUCAGAGGCGAUGAAGGACGUGCUAAUCUGCGAUAAGCGCCGGUAAGGUGAUAUGAACCGUUAUAACCGGCGAUUUCCGAAUGGGGAAACCCAGUGUGACUCGUCACACUAUCAUUAACUGAAUCCAUAGGUUAAUGAGGCGAACCGGGGGAACUGAAACAUCUAAGUACCCCGAGGAAAAGAAAUCAACCGAGAUUCCCCCAGUAGCGGCGAGCGAACGGGGAGGAGCCCAGAGCCUGAAUCAGCAUGUGUGUUAGUGGAAGCGUCUGGAAAGGCGCGCGAUACAGGGUGACAGCCCCGUACACAAAAGCGCAUGUGCUGUGAGCUCGAUGAGUAGGGCGGGACACGUGGUAUCCUGUCUGAAUAUGGGGGGACCAUCCUCCAAGGCUAAAUACUCCUGACUGACCGAUAGUGAACCAGUACCGUGAGGGAAAGGCGAAAAGAACCCCGGCGAGGGGAGUGAAAAAGAACCUGAAACCGUGUACGUACAAGCAGUGGGAGCACCCUUUGGGGUGUGACUGCGUACCUUUUGUAUAAUGGGUCAGCGACUUAUAUUCUGUAGCAAGGUUAACCGAAUAGGGGAGCCGGAGGGAAACCGAGUCUUAAUUGGGCGUUAAGUUGCAGGGUAUAGACCCGAAACCCGGUGAUCUAGCCAUGGGCAGGUUGAAGGUUGGGUAACACUAACUGGAGGACCGAACCGACUAAUGUUGAAAAAUUAGCGGAUGACCUGUGGCUGGGGGUGAAAGGCCAAUCAAACCGGGAGAUAGCUGGUUCUCCCCGAAAGCUAUUUAGGUAGCGCCUCGUGAAUU
rnacentral:rRNA from 1 species